GGUUUCAGGGUUAGAUCUUGAAACUUUUUCAAGAUCAUACAGCGGAAGACUAAAAUAAAUCAAAAUUUAUUUUCUAAAACUAGAGAAUUCCUAGAUUUAAGAUCCUAUUACAUGAUUAUUACAUAGCAUUAAAUCAAAAAUUAAAAUAUAUAUAUACAGCAUGAACUACAUGUUGAUCAUAUCAACAUAUUUCUAUACUACAUCUAAUGUAUGUAUUAAACAAUAGAUCAGAUCUAUUACCUUGCAAGUUAGACAUUCUAACCUCGCUGAUCCGGGCUUGAGGAUGAUGUUGCAAGCCACACAUACAUCCGGCCUCUAGGAGUCAUCCACACGAGCCCACAAAUCUCAAUCAG
rnacentral:lncRNA from 1 species